UGUAGACACGGUAAUUAUGAUCCUGGCAAUUGCGUUGAUCGUCAGUAGAAGAGCGUAGCUUAGGUGGGGUUCUGUCUGCCUCUGAUGGGGUGCGGAUGUGUGGUUCGUCACUGGUGAAUGGUGUUCGACGAUGCAGGUGGAUUUUGUGACGAGCGGAUUUACAAUGAGGGAAUGUAGUGUACGUGUCCGAUGAUAGUGAGCGUCUUUUCACUCUGUUCAAGUGUUCGUUUUCCUCUGUUGCCCAACAGUCGUGCGAAUUUGUCCUGACGUGUCCUGACAUGCCCCGAUAUGCAUGGUUUCCUUUGUUAACGCUUUGUAUUUUGUCUUUUUUGACAAGGAACAUUGUCGUCUUGACGAUAGUGCUGCCCUGAGUUCUGCGCGCGUUGGUUUGUUGAGUGCCUAGUCCUCUUAUUAGCCGUUGAUGGGGUUACAUGUUGGGAUAUUUUGUUCUUUUGCAAGUCUCAUUUAGUAAGACUUUGGAAUUCCUACGAUCAGCUUUCAUGCAUGGUGCUCUUCUGCAAUAGUUUCCUAUGCAAUCGUUAUAGAAGAAUAAAGGAAAUAACCUUGGGAUAGUGAUUCAAUAAAUAAUAGGUCCCCUGUCUAGAGCGCACGCGUCCUUGAGCCACGCAGGUGCAUGAGGACGUCAUACCGUGGCUUCACUGCAGAUUGACCUUGUCUAGAGGAGCAUUAGUGGAAAAAAAACAGUGUAGCCCUGAGACAAUAGGAUGAUGUCUGGACCAAUGAGAACGGCCAGCAGGGGGCGCAGGAAUGCUCUUCUCUCUUAGCCUCUCGCAGGUGGCGGUAGGAGCGCGCGCAUGCGUAGCACCCGUAGAGUGGCGCUUACGUCAGUCCACCUCUGGCUCUUGUUGGGAGAAGACGUGCGGUCGUUCGCUCCGUCGUCACUUGAUCCCUGGCUGUCGACGAGAGCGGACGCUCCGUCGCAGCGGGGAAAAAGAGCUACGAUGCUGGCGCCAUCUGGUGUGAUGCCUUGGAACUAGCGUGCCACCUGCCUCUGCAACCGUCGUGCUCCAGUCGCCCCGGCGUGAUUUCUUCAAGAUGGCGUCGUUGAUUUUCAAAUAAAUCAUUUCCUACUGUCUG